rnacentral:rRNA from 1 species
UGGGGAAUUUUGCACAAUGGGGGAAACCCUGAUGCAGCGACGCCGCGUGAUUUAGAAGGCCUUCGGGUUGUAAAAAUCUUUUUUACGGGAUGAAAAUGACAGUACCGUAAGAAUAAGGUCCGGCUAAAUACGUGCCAGCAGCCGCGGUAAUACGUAUGGACCGAGCGUUGUCCGGAAUCAUUGGGCGUAAAGGGUACGUAGGCGGCCUAGUAAGUUAGAAGUGAAAUAAUAUAGCUCAACUAUAUAAAGCGUUUAAAACUGCUAGGCUUGAAGGAUGGAAGGGAAAGGGGAAUUCCUAGGGUAGCGGGGAAAUGCGCAGGUAUUAGGAAGAAUACCGGGUGCGAAGGCGACUUUCUGGUCAUCAACUGACGCUGAGGGACGAAAGCGGUGGUAGCAAACAGG